UAAAAGAUAAGCUAACUAAGCUGAAGGGUUCAUACCCCUUUUAUGGCUCUGCCUCUUUUAAC
rnacentral:tRNA from 1 species